AGUAACACGUGGGGAACCUGCCCCUAAGUCUGGGAUACCAUUUGGAAACAGGUGCUAAUACCGGAUAAUAAAGCAGAUCGCAUGAUCAGCUUUUGAAAGGCGGCGUAAGCUGUCGCUAAGGGAUGGCCCCGCGGUGCAUUAGCUAGUUGGUAAGGUAACGGCUUACCAAGGCGACGAUGCAUAGCCGAGUUGAGAGACUGAUCGGCCACAUUGGGACUGAGACACGGCCCAAACUCCUACGGGAGGCAGCAGAG
rnacentral:rRNA from 1 species